rnacentral:rRNA from 1 species
UACGUAGGGGGGCUAGCGUUGUCCGGAUUUAUUGGGCGUAAAGAGCGUGUAGGCGGCCAGAUAGGUCCGUUGUGAAACCUGGAGGCUUAACCUCCAGCCGUCGAUGGAAACCAUCUGGCUAGAGUCCGGAAGAGGAGAGUGGAAUUCCUGGUGUAGCGGUGAAAGUGCGCAGAUAUCAGGAAGAACACCCCGUGGCGAAGGCGGCUCUCUGGGACGGUA